GGGUCAGUAGGUUGGUCGUGCCACCGGUACGUACUGGUCUCACUGAUUCCUCCUUCCUGAAGAACCGUAAUGCCAUUUAUUUGGUGUUGCGGGGAAACAGGACUUUUACUUUGAAAAAAUUAGAGUGUUUAAAGCAAGCUAACGCUUGAAUACAUUAGCAUGGAAUAAUGAAAUAGGACGAUCGAUCAUAUUUUGUUGGUUUCCAGGAUUGACGUA
rnacentral:rRNA from 1 species